ACAGUUUCUUGAGUCACACAGAGGCAGAUUCAACAAUUACAGAUGAGGUGGAAGGUUACUUAGCAGGCUUUUAGCUUUUCCAACAGUUGCUGAGGCUUUCA
rnacentral:sRNA from 1 species